rnacentral:rRNA from 1 species
GACGAACGCUGGCGGCGUGCUUAACACAUGCAAGUCGAACGGAAAGGCUCCAGCUUGCUGGAGUACUCGAGUGGCGAACGGGUGAGUAACACGUGGGUAAUCUGCCCUGCACUCUGGGAUAAGCCUGGGAAACUGGGUCUAAUACUUGAUAUGACCUUUCUCCUUAUGGGGUUUGGUGGAAAGUUUUUCGGUGUAGGAUGAGCCCGCGGCCUAUCAGCUUGUUGGUGGGGUGAUGGCCUACCAAGGCGACGACGGGUAGCCGGCCUGAGAGGGUGAUCGGCCACAUUGGGACUGAGAUACGGCCCAGACUCCUACGGGAGGCAGCAGUGGGGAAUAUUGCACAAUGGGCGGAAGCCUGAUGCAGCGACGCCGCGUGAGGGAUGACGGCCUUCGGGUUGUAAACCUCUUUCAGCAGGGACGAAGCGUAAGUGACGGUACCUGCAGAAGAAGCACCGGCUAACUAUGUG